rnacentral:lncRNA from 1 species
GAGGUAUCUGUGAGAAUGUAAAAAUAAAUCAGUGAAAAAGAAGAAAUAGUUUAUCUCAUGAACAUCUCUGCCAGUGCAGUCCUUCCUAUAAUAUGUGUUGUAAUAACUAUUCCAGGUGAUUUUUUCCUGCCAGCGGAGAGGUGUUUCCAUGGAGUGUGCAAUCGCUGAGGGCCUGAGCAGCUCCCAGCAAGGGCCAGGGAUGGAUUCCAGGCCAUGGGAAAACCUGUAGAUUUGGAGGAGCCUUACAGCUGUCUCAUGGAGUUCUCACAGCAGCCCCUCAAGAUGUUUUCAGCAAGUGCGUGCCUGGCAGGAGCCGAGAAAGCCCUCAAUGUGACGCAGAGUAAUUUAAGUUUCUGUGCUGUCACUAAGGACCUAACCUGUGACACAGUGCCAACAAGUGUGGUUGCACUGAAAAUAUUCUUGACCAUUGAAAAUCCAAGGAACUCUAUGUUUAGGAAAGAAGUAAUUGGGAAAACUUCUGCUUGAAAAGGUGUGCAGGUAACUUUAUUCAUCUGUAUUUCAUGUAGACAUUUAACUGAGCAUCAGCAGACCCUGAAAUCAUCAACACGGUUUCUUUUCCUAUCAUUCUCCUGUGUUCUGGCCCACAUCACAUUGCCUGCUGUACGUUAAUCAGCUUUCCUAAGCUCUGGUUCAUAAAACUGCUAUGAACUGCAUGCUUCUGCAUCACCUGAUAUUUAGCAGGG